rnacentral:rRNA from 1 species
GAUGAACGCUAGCGGCAGGCUUAACACAUGCAAGUCGAGGGGUAUAGAAAGCUUGCUUUCUAGAGACCGGCAAACGGGUGCGGAACACGUACACAACCUACCUUUAUCAGGGGGAUAGCCUUCGGAAACGGAGAUUAAUACCCCAUAGUAUUAUGGAGUGGCAUCAUUUUAUAAUUAAAGAAUUUCGGAUAGAGAUGGGUGUGCGUAAGGUUAGCUAGUUGGUGAGGUAAAGGCUCACCAAGGCAACGAUCUUUAGCUGAUGUGAGAGCAUGAUCAGCCACACGGGCACUGAGACACGGGCCCGACUCCUACGGGAGGCAGCAGUGAGGAAUAUUGGUCAAUGGACGGAAGUCUGAACCAGCCAUGCCGCGUGAAGGAUGAAGGCGUUCUGCGUUGUAAACUUCUUUUAUUUAGGAAGAAACCACUUUUUUUUAAGAGUGUUGACGGUAUUAAAUGAAUAAGCACCGGCUAACUCCGUGCCAGCCGCCGCGGUAAAAC